UCCUGCAAGAGCCUAAAUCCUUUCUAUAUAUAUUCCACAGCAUUUUCAUCCUCCACACUUCUUCAUAAUCCUUCUCUUCAAACCUUAAACACUUCCCAAUUCUGACUUACCUUCACUUUCCACUCACUUGAAAAGUAAUGGCAGAUGCAAUUCUGUCCCGCAUUGUUGUGGAAAUCAUUAAGAAGCUGGGUUCUCGAGUUCUUCAAGAGACUAGGCUCUGGUGGGGUGUCAAAGAGGAGCUUGAGAAACUCAGGAGGACAGUUUCAACCAUCCAAGCUGUGCUUCUUGAUGCAGAGCAGCAGUACUGGCAGAAGCAUCAAAUCAAAGAUUGGGUUGACUCGCUAAAAGAUGCUUUUUACGAUGCUGAUGACUUGCUAGAUGAGUUCUCCACAGAUGUUUUAGUGAAGCGGAUGAUGACUGGCAAUAAAAUGGUGAAGGAGGUACGCCUCUUCUUUUCAAGCUCAAACCCAUUUGUUUAUGGUCUUAAAAUGGCUCAUAAGAUUGGAAAAGUUAGAAGUAAAUUAGAUGAGACUGUUGCAAAUAGGAAGUUUCACUUAGAUGAGAUCGCAGCUCCUAUGGUUGAGGAAAGAGAGCAAACUCACUCAUCUUUGCCUCUUGUAGUUGUUGGUAGAGAAGAUGAUAAGAAGAAAAUCAUUGAUUUUCUUCUGUCUUCUAGUUAUGGGGAGAAUGUGUCAAUCAUUUCCAUUGUUGGUGUUGGAGGAUUAGGAAAGACAACACUUGCUCAACUUGCAUACAAUGAUGUGAGGGUGAAAUCAUAUUUUGAGUUCAAAAUGUGGGUGUGCAUUUCUGAAAAUUUUGAUGUAAAAAUAGUUGUUGAAAAGAUUUUGGAGUCUCUUGAUGGUGAGAAGCCUAAAAAUCUUGAAUUGAAUACCUUGAAAGAUCUACUUUGGGAGAAAAUUAAUGAAAAAAAAUAUUUGCUUGUUUUGGAUGAUUUAUGGAAUGAGGAUUCCAAAAAAUGGUUUGACUUGAAAGAUUUGUUAGCCAGAGGUGCAUGUGGAAGUAAAAUAAUAGUGACUACGCGUCUUGAAAAUGUUGCAAAGAUGAUAAGAUCAGAUGAAACAAGUAAAUUACAAGGCCUAUGUGAUGCUAAGUCAUGGUUGUUGUUUAAAAAAAUGGCUUUCAAGCAAGAGCAAGUAACAAGCGCAAAGCAUGAGAUAAUUGGAAGAGAAAUUGUGACAAAAUGUGUUGGAGUCCCUUUAGCCAUUCGAGCAAUAGGAAGUUUAUUGUAUUAUAAAAAUGCAAUAAAUGAGUGGGAAUCGUUCAAAGAAAAAGAGUUUUUAUAUUUGAAUGAAGGGGAGAUUAAUAUUAUGAAAACUCUUAGGUUGAGUUAUGAUCAUCUCCCUUCUCAUUUAAAGUGUUGUUUUGCCUAUUGUAGAUUAUUUCCAAAAGGUUCAAAAAUUAAAAUAGAAUAUUUGGUGAAUCUUUGGAUGGCACAAGGAUUGAUUGAAUUAUCAGAUUCAAAACAAAGUUUCAAAGAUGUAGGCCUAAAAUAUUUCAAAGAUCUUUUAUGGAGGUCUUUCUUUCAAGACGUAGAAGAAGAUAUAUUGGGUAAUUUAAGGAGUUGUAGAAUGCAUGAUUUGAUGUAUGAUCUUAUUUUGCAAGUAGCUAGAGAGGGUAUCACUUUAUUAAAUUCGGAUGCAGAACUUGUUAAAGAAGGAACUCGACAUGUUUCAAUUGGUUUUAAAGUUGAGUCAUGGCAAAAAAUUGCAAGUUGCUUACCUAUUGUGACAAAGGUGCGAACAUUUACAUCAUUCAAUUGGUCAAAAAUGUAUGAUAUUAAAGAAGUAGAAUGUCAUGACAUUUUUUCCAAAUUAAGUCGAGUAAGGUUAUUGAAUUUAUGUGAUUUGGGGAUUGAGAAAGUGCCACAUUCCAUUGAUAAAUUAAAGCACGUAAGAUUUCUCGAUCUUUCUGAUAAUAAAGGCAUUGAGUUCCUUCCUGAUUCCAUAAUUAAACUUCAAAACUUGCAAAUUCUACGCCUAGUCAACUGUGAAAGGCUUAAACAGUUGCCAAAGCAUAUCAAAAAGUUGGUCAAUCUCCAGCGACUUUUCCUUGAGGGAUGUGUUAGUUUGACUCAUAUGCCACAUGGGAUUGGUCAACUGACUUCUAUUGAGGAUUUAUCACUAUUCAUGGUAGACAAAGAUAACGGUGUCUCCAAACAUGGCGGUGCCCUUAGUGAAUUGAGUAACUUGAACAAUCUGAGAGAUGUGCUUCGAAUCAUGAAUCUACGGUAUGUGAAAAAUCCAGCAUCUGAAUUUAAGGCAGCCAAUUUGAAAGAGAAGCAACACCUUCAAGCCUUGACAUUAUCAUGGAAAUUGGGCGAUCCCUAUGAUAAUAAUAGUGAUAGUGGUCCAGAUGAUGUUGAAAAUGAUGAAGAAAUGUCAUUAGAAGAGCUGCGGCCACACCUUAAUCUAAAAUGGUUGCUUGUGUAUGGGUGUGGAAGACUCAUGUUUCCAAGCUGGAUUUCCUCCCUCACUAAUUUGGUGGAACUUCGAAUUGAUAACUGCAAAAAAUGCCAGCAUUUUCCACCGUUGGAUCAGUUCCCUUCACUUAAAAGUUUGGCGAUUGAGAAUUUCACUGAUCUGGAGUACAUAGAGAGUGGGAUUAAUUGCGACAAUGCAUUAUUCUUCCCUUCCUUAGAGAGACUCUGGCUCUUAAAUUGCCCAAAUCUGAAGGGAUGGAGGAGGGAUACAUCCACGCCUCAGUUGCUACAAUUUCACUGUCUUGAUUAUUUGGAUAUCAGGUCUUGCCCUAACCUCACUUCAAUGCCUCUCAUUCCAUCUGUCCAAAAAUUGGUGUUGAAAAAUGCUAGCAAGAAGUCAUUGGAGGACAUACUGAAGAUGAAGAUUUCGGUGUCACAAUCUACCUCUUCUUGUUCUUCGAUUUCCCAUUCUCAAUUGAAAAUUCUGAAUAUCGAGAAUAUUGAGGAUCUAGAAGUUCUGCCAGAGGAGUUGUUCACAAAUCCCAUAUCACUCCGACAACUUUAUAUUCGUUAUUGUCCACGAAUAACAAAGGUGUCUUCUGCUUUGCGGCAUCUAACCUCCCUUGAGCAUCUUGUCUUCUUGGCUUGUGAGGAGCUUGAUUUAUCUGAUUCAGAGGAUCAUAGUGAUAUGCCGUGGCAGUACCUUAGAAGCCUCCGGGUGCUUCAUUUGAUAAAUUUGAACAAAUUGGAGUCCGUCCCAAAGGGACUUCAACAUGUUCCCACUCUGUGCAGACUCCUAAUCAAAAGUUGUCCUAAUUUGAUAUCUUUACCGGAGUGGAUAGGAAGCCUUACCGCAUUACAAGCUUUUGGGAUUCAUGAAUGUCCUCAACUGUCAGAAAGAUGCAAAAGCAAAAUGGGUGCUGAUUGGCCCAAGAUUGCUCACAUACCAAAUAUUUAUAUUGAGGGAAGAUGGAUUCAAGUGGAUGGCAUAUACAAGCUAUAAUCAGAAGAAUCAGACUUUUCUUCGGAGGUGGAAAAUUUAUUUGUUCUGAAAACAAAAUGAAAUUCAACUUUUCACACUCAUUCAAAUCUUACUUAUUCCUUCCAUUCAAUUGUGUGGAAAAGAAAAUGACAAUCUAAAGCAUUUGCACCAAACUGAGGUCUAAUCUCCAGGCAUGUGAUCUGGAAGAAUUGUUUGGAAAUUUUGCCACCAGAUGCAUGUUCUGAGUGUUCAGGACUUCAGGUUGGGUUAAGAUUGCAGUUGAAGAUCAAAUCUAAUAAGAAUUAUAUUUUAAGUUGGCAUCUAGGUCACAAUGUGUUCUGUGAAUUUAUACUAUUGGGCAGUACUAAAUCAAACAUGGUUUGCGAUCAGUCAAAUGAAUGGAGGAACUUUGGCUACUUUUUAUCCUUUUAAUGGUAGUUUGAGGUUGUUCUGCUGAUAGUGCGACUCAGUAGAUUGAAGCAUUCCCAUGUAAUUUUAAGUGAGCUAUGGAAUUUCAAAUAAGCAUUCUGCAAAUAUGGUCUUCAAUUUCAGAGUUUGGAAAUUAAUAAUGGUUCUAUCUUGUUGAAAGAAGCCAGAAAAGAGCAAUUGUGAAUUGGCCUUGCAAUUAUUAGAGAACUCAAGGGAUAGCCCAAGAAUGCUCACCUCCGAGAGGUUGUAUUUGGCAUAAAAAGAAAAGAUCCUACAGUUCACUGCUUUACAGUUACAUGAAAGCAAAUCUUAUCUCUUGCGUGUGGUUCUGUUUUGGAGAUUUUGAGGCCCGGAAUGCAUAAUUUUCCCCAUCUUGAACUGGUUGGCAUUUUAAGUGGCAAUAUGUUCUGUGAAUUUAUUAGCCUUCAAAGAAAUUGAAGCAUUCCCAUAUAAGCUUAUGUGAGCUUUGGAGUGUCAAACGAGCAUUCUGCAACGCGUGCUUCUUCACUUUUAGACUUUGGAAAUUGAUGAUGGUUGGUUCUGUCUUUUUGAAAGAUAACAGAGACGAGCAAUUGUGGAUUGGCCUCUCAUGUGCCAGGGCCAUUGCCUAUCUGGUGGACAACUGAUCGUCUAACUUAUCUGCAAUCAUUUGCUAAAGUUGAAAAUUCUGCUUAUUCAGGAUCUAGAAUUUCUGCUAGAGAACUUGCUGCAAAACCUCACUUCACUUCAAUGCCAUAAUAUUUGGGAUUGUCCACAAAUAACAACCUUGUCUUCUGAUUUGCGGCAUUCAGAAGUGGAAAAAUCAUUGGUUCUGGAAAAAAAAAAGAAAAAAAAAAAGAAGAGAUUCAACACUUCAUAUUGCUUCAAAUCUAACUUAUUCCUUCCACCAGUUGAGUGGAUUGUUUGGAACUUUUGUCACCAAAUGCAUGUUCUGAAUGAGAUCUAGAGUUUGGGACAUAAGGUUGUUGAAGAUCAAAUCUUAUAAGAAUAAGAUUUUAUAGUUUGGAAACCAAUAAUGGUUCCGUCUUGUUGAAAGAUGCUAGAGAAGAGCAGCUACGAAUUGGUCUCUCUUGUGCAAGAAAGUGUUUGUUUUGUCUGGUAGAUUGUGCAAAAAUUUCAGUCUUUAUGGACCCAAUUUCAGUUUAGACUUCAAAGGAAAACCUGUGGGCACAACAAUCAUGCAGACCUACAUGGAUGGGAAUCAUUGUGAUGAAGGUCAUUUUCAUCUAUCAACUCUCUUCACCUCAUUCCUUUCAACAUUGGGAUUUAUGCAUGAUAAUUACCUUGAAUUGAAGUUUCAUCUCCCUUGCCUAUAGAAACUGCUGAUUGCAAGGAUUUUCAUAUGUACAAUAAUGAAUGGCUUUGGAUGAACUUCAACUUGCCGCCACAUUUUAACAACUUGGGACUGUAGAAUUUCUUUAUUGAUGGCUUCUUCAGAUAAGUUAAAUAUGGAGUGACUAUGAGUCUCUUCCAUCACAGCAUCGACCUGUAUCUUCGUGGAUCCCUCUGCCGCUAAAUCACCUCAAGUGGAACGUUGAAGGUUCCUCCCUAGGAUUGAUGAUUCAAGCGCCGCAGAGUUAAAGGCCAUUCAAAAAGCGUUUGUUGUCUGUUUCUCCUCCUCUUUACCCUACUAAUGCUGUCGGUAUCCUUAUUGAAACUGACCCUAAGAUCGCUGUGUCUUGGGUGAAUAACGAUGACACUAAGACAGUACUCCUCGGCGUCUCUCCUCUGUGCUGAACUCUAUUAGCUGCAACCUAAAGCGCCUCCCUAAUGCCGGGGUGAGUCAUGCUCCUAGAGCAGUGAAUUGCUUCGCUGACUCUCUUGCAAACAGGGAUUCUACCGCAAUUGUAUCUGUUAGCUUUGUUAUAAUUGCUUUGCGUCACUUUCUGUUGACAUAGGUAGAAGGUCUUGCUUCAUUAGGUUGGGUGUAAGGGAUAUGCCUGCUGGCAUGGGUUUAGUUGGACGCAGCCUUCUAUCCAUUUCUAUUUUCAUUAAUAAAUUGCAUUUUGCUUGUAUAUAAAAAAGGGAAGUAUUAUGUAUUGAUUUAAAAUAUUAUACACAGUUUUCAAUUGUA